AUUGAACGCUGGCGGCAGGCCUAACACAUGCAAGUCGAGCGGAUGAAGGGAGCUUGCUCCUGGAUUCAGCGGCGGACGGGUGAGUAAUGCCUAGGAAUCUGCCUGGUAGUGGGGGAUAACGUCCGGAAACGGGCGCUAAUACCGCAUACGUCCUGAGGGAGAAAGUGGGGGAUCUUCGGACCUCACGCUAUCAGAUGAGCCUAGGUGGAUUAGCUAGUUGGUGGGGUAAAGGCCUACCAAGGCGACGAUCCGUAACUGGUCUGAGAGGAUGAUCAGUCACACUGGAACUGAGACACGGUCCAGACUCCUACGGGAGGCAGCAGUGGGGAAUAUUGGACAAUGGGCGAAAGCCUGAUCCAGCCAUGCCGCGUGUGUGAAGAAGGUCUUCGGAUUGUAAAGCACUUUAAGUUGGGAGGAAGGGCAGUAAGUUAAUACCUUGCUGUUUUGACGUUACCGACAGAAUAAGCACCGGCUAACUUCGUG
rnacentral:rRNA from 1 species